CCGAAAGAUGACCGGUCGUUGCCUUGUUUUCUCUGGAACUGUUUUGUGGCAUCAUCUCAUGGCCGACUGGUCAAAACCUCAUUCGAAUGGCGUUCCCGAACCAACGAAGGGAUCUGAGUUUUGGCAAAGUGUGCGCUCAGAUUCAAGCUAUUCGGUGAUGUGAUUUUCGUGGGGUUCUGAAGUAUUAAAAUUUAUUUUUGGGGUG